rnacentral:rRNA from 1 species
GAUGAACGCUAGCGGCAGGCCUAACACAUGCAAGUCGAGGGGUAACAGAGAGGAGCUUGCUUCUUUGCUGACGACCGGCGCACGGGUGCGUAACGCGUAUACAAUCUACCUUUUACUGGGGGAUAGCCUUUGGAAACGAAGAUUAAUACCCCAUAGUAUGUUGACUUCGCAUGGAGACAAUAUUAAAGAUUACGGUAAAAGAUGAGUAUGCGUCCUAUUAGCUAGAUGGUGUGGUAACGGCACACCAUGGCAACGAUAGGUAGGGGCCCUGAGAGGGGGACCCCCCACACUGGUACUGAGACACGGACCAG